rnacentral:rRNA from 1 species
AAUAGAUACCCAGGUAGUCCACGCCGUAAACGAUGUCGACUUGGAGGUUGUGCCCUUGAGGCGUGGCUUCCGGAGCUAACGCGUUAAGUCGACCGCCUGGGGAGUACGGCCGCAAGGUUAAAACUCAAAUGAAUUGACGGGGGCCCGCACAAGCGGUGGAGCAUGUGGUUUAAUUCGAUGCAACGCGAAGAACCUUACCUACUCUUGACAUCCAGAGAACUUAGCAGAGAUGCUUUGGUGCCUUCGGGAACUCUGAGACAGGUGCUGCAUGGCUGUCGUCAGCUCGUGUUGUGAAAUGUUGGGUUAAGUCCCGCAACGAGCGCAACCCUUAUCCUUUGUUGCCAGCGAUUCGGUCGGGAACUCAAAGGAGACUGCCAGUGAUAAACUGGAGGAAGGUGGGGAUGACGUCAAGUCAUCAUGGCCCUUACGAGUAGGGCUACACACGUGCUACAAUGGCAUAUACAGAGAGAAGCGACCUCGCGAGAGCAAGCGGACCUCAUAAAGUAUGUCGUAGUCCGGAUUGG